rnacentral:rRNA from 1 species
UGAGUAACGCGUGGGUAACCUGCCCUGUACAGGGGGAUAACAGCUGGAAACGGCUGCUAAUACCGCAUAAGCGCACGAGGAGACAUCUCCUUGUGUGAAAAACUCCGGUGGUACAGGAUGGGCCCGCGUCUGAUUAGCUGGUUGGCAGGGUAACGGCCUACCAAGGCAACGAUCAGUAGCCGGUCUGAGAGGAUGAACGGCCACAUUGGAACUGAGACACGGCCCAGACUCCUACGGGAGGCAGCAUG